rnacentral:miRNA from 1 species
GUGCCCUGCGUGUGUGCGUGCGUGUGUGUGUGUGUGUGUGUGUGUGUGUGGCCAUGGCCACCAAGGCGCCACC